AGGUCAUGAAAUGUGCAAUGUGUUCCUUGUACAAAUAAACUCAUAUUGCACUUUUCCAGGCCUUU